rnacentral:misc_RNA from 1 species
GAUGAAGAACGUAGCAAAAUGCGAUAAGUAAUGUGAAUUGCAGAAUUCAGUGAAUCAUCGAAUCUUUGAACGCACAUUGCGCCCGCUGGUAUUCCGGCGGGCAUGCCUGUUCGAGCGUCAUUUCAACCCUCAAGCCCCCGGGUUUGGUGUUGGGGAUCGGCUCUGCCCUUCUGGGCGGUGCCGCCCCCGAAAUACAUUGGCGGUCUCGCUGCAGCCUCCAUUGCGUAGUAGCUAACACCUCGCAACUGGAACGCGGCGCGGCCAUGCCGUAAAACCCCCACUUCUGAAUGUUGACCUCGGAUCAGGUAGGAAUACCCGCUGAACUUAAGCAUAUCAAUAAGCGGAGGA